AGAAUGAACGCUGGCGGCGUGCUUUACACAUGCAAGUUGAGCGAGGCCGGUAGCAAUACCGAGUCGAGCGGCGAACGGGUGAGUAACGCGUGGAUAACCUGCCCUGAGGCGGGGAAUAACCCGGGGAAACUCGGGCUAAUACCGCAUGAUACCGAGAGGUCAAAGAGGGCUCGCAAGGGCUCUUGCCACAGGAGGGGUCCGCGUUCGAUUAGCUAGUUGGUAGGGUAAUGGCCUACCAAGGCGACGAUCGAUAGCCGGCCUGAGAGGGUGAUCGGCCACACUGGAACUGAGACACGGUCCAGACUCCUACGGGAGGCAGCAGUGGGAAUUUAGCGCAAUGGGACUAACGCCUGACGCAGCAACGACGCGUGGAGGAUGAAGUCUUGGAUUGUAAACUCCUGUCAGACAAGGAAAAAGGAGUAAGGACCUAAUACGUACUUAAACUUAGAAUUGUACCUGU
rnacentral:rRNA from 1 species